UCUUUAUUUCACCUCUUCAAUUCCGUCGUCAAUUCGUUUCCCAUUUCCUCUCCCUUUCUCUCUCACGUUUUAUCUCCUACCACUCUUCCAUCAAGGUUUCCUUUCACACAAAUCUUUUUUCUCCUUCUCUCUCACCAUUGUAUCUUUCCGGAAUCUCUCUUCCAUCUCAAACCCUGUGCUCCUCUCGCAUCAUGUUUCUCAAUCUGACGUCGUUUUUCCAUUUCUUCCCUACUCCAUAUUUCAAUCUUCUCCAGAUGUUGAAGGAGAGGAGUAUUCUCUGCGAUUUUAUUCCACUUUCAAGCAUCAGAUUGAGAGCAUGUGUUGUCCUCUAAUUUUCAUGUGUUGGCUGCCUGUAUUCCCUAAUUUUAGUCUUCUUCCUGUCUUGAUUUCUUCGUUUCUGGGUUCCUUUUUUUCAUUGUGUGGAAUCACUUGCAAUUUCUCCUAAUUUUAGUUUUUGGUAUAUGCCAGCUAUCUGUCUCUCAUGUAAAAUAUGUCCAGUUCCUCUUACCUUUUUUUCCUGUGAAAUAUCAGCAUAAAACAUAGAGGCAUGCGUUUUUGUACCAACAUAGCCUCUUUGAUCGUACUUUGUUUCUUUGCACAGGUUCUAAUCUGUCCAGUUCCUUUUACCAUUAAACAACCACCAAGGUGUUCUUUCUUCUGUAAAUAGUAAUUACAAUACGUGCAUCUGUGCCUGUUUUCAUUGCUUUGAUGGAGGUUUGAUAUUUCCCAAGUGAAAUAUGACUUGUCUGAUGAAAGGUGGAGCUUCAGAACCCAAGUAGCAAGAAGCUUCUGGGUCGUGUGAGGGCUUCUGAUAGGCACUGCAUGGUUCAGGAUCAAAUUUAUUAUCAUGUCUGCCCUUUGUUUGAGAGCUUUAUUACCAAGCAUAUGUUUAGAAAUUUGAUUUGAUAGAUUUUGGUAGGGGGGGAAGUGAUUAUUGAAGGUUUAAUCAUUGAUUCUCUCUUUGGUUUUGGCUUGCAGUUGCAGGGUUUGAGACUGGAUGGUGUCACCGUGUACUGCUGGAGCAGUUUCAUGCUUCAAUUUUCAGGCAUUACUUUCAUUUUCAUUCUUUAAUUUUCUUAAUCCUUCUGCCGCCACCAUGGUAUGCAGAUCUACUGAAAACCCUAACUUUGGGCUGCCAAGCCAAUCUGACCUAUUGAUAGUUAUUAAUGAAAUUUAAAAUAGAAUGAAAUAGGAAAAACUUAUAUGAACAUUAGAGAUUUUUGAAAACAGGAAAUUAUUCACCUUUAAUUUCUCCCCCCAUCAAGCUUCAGAUUAGAGAAAAUUAUUCUCUCAAAAGAUAUUUAUAUUUAAAAUGAAACUCUCUCCCCUUUAUUCCUCACUUAGUAAUUAUUAGUUUUGAAUUCAAAUUUGUGUUUGACCUUAAAUUACUCACUCUAUCAAGUCUCAAUUUAAUGAAUUUAUUAUUCAGAAACCACCAAUAUUGUAACAACCCCAUAUCAUGAGUAGUGUCCUUAAUUCUAGCUCUCAAAUCAAUACUUUUUGUUGUUCAGUUUAUUUUCCUUCUUCAUAAAUUUUGUUUAAAAUAACAGGAGGCUAGGAUGGAAUUUUGUUAAAAAAAAUUGCUUUGCCUUGAUUAUAAGAGGAGUUCAUUUUAAUUCAGUAGAGAAUUAUUUUCUGGAGUUCAUUUUAAUUGUUUUUUUAUGAAAGGGUUAUGUUGCUAGGAUGAUUUUGUUGUGGGAAGAACUUGAGGGAUGACAUCAUUUGGAGUAGUUUAUAGUGUCAUUGGCCAACAAGCUCUUUCACUGUGAUGUAUUUUAUGACUAGAUCCUUUGCAUCUUUAUUUUCAGUUUUUAGUGUAUUAGCUUAGACCACUCCAUCAAUAAGGAAUGAAUGUAUUGAAACUUUUGCUUCUGUGAGUCUUAUUUUGGUUUCACUUUGAACGAAUAUGCUAUUUGAUAUUUAUGUAGUUAAAAAUUUGAGGUAUAUUUGAUCUUGAUGCUCUCCACCCUGCCCUGCUUCCCUUUCUAUUUUUCCACCCUUUGAUCUUGAUUCAAGGUAGUUUGUUACUGCACACCUUUAUUUUCUUAUAUAAAUGAAAGAAAGAUAAGACAUCAUACUUUUGAUUAUUUUAGUUGCUUUUCUCAUUUAUAUUUAUCUAAUGUUUGAUGUCACUACAUAAAUGUCUAAAUGAUUCAAGCCAGUCUUACUAGCUAUUAGUAGAACAGAUGAAAGAAAGAUAAUACAUCAUAUGCCUAAAUAUCUUAAGUCUUUUUUCUUAUCCAUAUCCAUAGUAUAUACAUGGGGCUUAAAUGGCAGGAGUGAGCGCACAUUCCUAUUGACCUCAAUCAAAUUUCAUGGAAUCCCGUGAUAUUCUUCGUUAUCACUUUUGGGACAGUGUGGACGACAACAGAGGCCAUGGCAAGUUUGUCUCUGUCGAAAAAAUACUCACCGAGCAGCAGGUGUUUGAGAAUGGCUACUCCAUGAACAUAACAAUGAAGAUUGAGUGGUUUUGCUAGCGAUAAUUCAACUUCUUCAUUUUUGUUUUGGUAGCUGUGGAUCUUCUCAGAAAAUUGUUGAGUAGUCGAAAGGAACCAAAACAUAUUCCUGGUCUGUUAUUGGCUUCUGACAUUUGUUGUGAGAAUUCCAGUCCAGCACUCUGCUUCAAUGUAAAGAUAGCAUACCAAUGUACAAGAGACUUAUUCUUAUUUGACAAUAACUUUGAGGGAGCCACUAGAAUAGUGGAUCAAAAAGGAGUCAAGAUGAUUUCUGGUCACCCCAAUGGAAGGUUCAUCUUUCAGUUCUCUGAAAACAUUAUUGAACAAAUAGGGUACUUGGGGAAUGACAAAGGAGGAAUCACUCUAGGAUGCAGAGGAAUCGUGUGUUGCAUGUUGUUGAUGUCCUUCAUCGAGGGAGGGCUAAUAAGUCCAAGUGUUUGGUCGAGACAUGAAGCAGGUGUUUGAAGAUAGAUAUUUGUCACCUGAAGAUUUUCAAGCCCCAGAAAAAGAAGGCACCAGAGAUAAUCUUUGGGGGCUCCCUGUCAAGGAACUUCCUUAAAAUUUCCAGAAAAAUGCUUAGCUUGGUAAAUGAUGCAGUUGAACCUAAAACCUUUCGGCUACUUCACCAGAGACUACCAGUCUUCCACUGAAUUACUUUUAUCUCGAGAUCUCUUAAUUAGUAAUGUAGACUCCCCUUUCCUGUUUGUUAAGUCUGAUCCAACUUAUUGUUCAAUACACACUUUCCUAUUUGGAAGCUAUGCUAGAAUCCAUUUAUUAGUCAA